rnacentral:rRNA from 1 species
CCUACGGGAGGCAGCAGUGGGGAAUAUUGGACAAUGGGCGAAAGCCUGAUCCAGCAAUGCCGCGUGAGUGAUGAAGGCCUUAGGGUUGUAAAGCUCUUUUACCAGGGAUGGUAAUGACAGUACCUGGAGAAUAAGCUCCGGCUAACUCCGUGCCAGCAGCCGCGGUAAUACGGAGGGAGCUAGCGUUGUUCGGAAUUACUGGGCGUAAAGCGUACGUAGGCGGUUAUUCAAGUCAGAGGUGAAAGCCUGGAGCUCAACUCCAGAACUGCCUUUGAAACUAGAUAGCUAGAAUCUUGGAGAGGUGAGUGGAAUUCCGAGUGUAGAGGUGAAAUUCGUAGAUAUUCGGAAGAACACCAGUGGCGAAGGCGACUCACUGGACAAGUAUUGACGCUGAGGUACGAAAGCGUGGGGAGCAAACAGGAUUAGAUACCCUGGUAGUCCACGCCGUAAACGAUGAUAACUAGCUGUUCGGGCUCUACGAGCUUGAGUGGCGCAGCUAACGCAUUAAGUUAUCCGCCUGGGGAGUACGGUCGCAAGAUUAAAACUUAAAAUAGAAUUGACGG